CAAUCCUAGUACUACUCUAGCCCAAGCACCCUUAACUGCGGAGUUCUAAUGGAAUCCAGUGCAUUAGUGCGGGUAUGAUCGCAUGUGUUACUACAUGCAAUGUAAUCGUAUCUAUUCUUUUUUAAAGACUUUAUGAUCCAUUUGCCGUGGGUCCCACCAGCUAUGUAGGAAUACACUAUCUUCUUUAUAAGAGCUUUGAUACAUGCAAAAUAUUGGAAAAAAACGUCCGAACAUAUAAUUUUCCCCACGUAAUAUAGCAAAGAUCACGAAAAUGCCCCAAAAAGUACAUUUAGUUCAAAAUUUGGAGUAGAAAAAAAAACAAUAGAAGAAUUACAUUUUCCUUCCUCACUCAUCGGAGAGCUCUCUUUGGGCUUUUCGAAAAGGUACCACAUGCCAAGUUUGGCCUCACGGUCUAAAAGUUAUAGAGUCAUACAUUUUUAACAAAAUAA
rnacentral:sRNA from 1 species